AAGGAUCAUUAUUGAUUUUAAAGGAUGUGCUGGUCCAGUUUCUUUGAGAUUGGGCAUUUGUGCACUCUGAAAAUAUUCAUAUUCACCUGUGCAUGUUUUUGUAGACAAGAGCUUAUUUGCUCUUGUCUAUGUUUUUUUAAACACUUAUAUGUUUAAAAUGAUCUGUGUGCAAUUGCAUAACUUUGAACAACUUUCAACAAUGGAUCUCUUGGUUCUC
rnacentral:misc_RNA from 1 species